rnacentral:lncRNA from 1 species
AUGAGGGGACAUCCUCCACAAAUAUUGGGAAUUAUGGUCUAUAAGAGGACAUAAGGGAUAACCAUUUCUUUCAUCCAAAACACUAAACACAAAAUUCCAAUAUCUCUUUCUCCACUUGUUGAGUUCGGCCGAAACCCAACACCCACCCACCAUCACUUUCAAGUUUGAUUCUUGUAAUUUUUCAUAUACACAAGGGUGAAGGGUCACACACAAGGAGGCUUGGUGCUUACGGAAUCACAAGGACCUCACUACAUCGCUAUUAACCAUCCAUUUUUCGUCUAGUUUCUUCCCUAGCCUCGAGCUAGUAGUUACGACGUUAAUUAAGCAAAUCCGGUGAAGUUUACGACGCACAGGAACGCAAAGUUGUAACUAGGAUGGAUGUGCGCGUGAUCUUACUUAUGCUCGUGGAUGUCGCUUAUGUUUAUCUUUAAAUAAAGUUGUAAACUUUUAAGACAAUGUUUUAUGCGACCUAGCGAUGUAAACGCUAAACGUAUGUUUCAAAUUAUGGUAUUUGAAGUUAUUUUCAUGAGCAUGUAGUAUGUUUACCUUUCGUAUGCAAUGAGAACCUUUCAUGAUCACACCUCGUGCUUCCGCCGCAGAAAGGGGUGUGACAUUCCUCACACACGACUGUGUCGCAAAGAGGUAGGGCUGUAAACGAACCGAACGAACAUGAUAAAGGCCAUGUUCGUGUUCGUUCGUUAAGAAAAUUAACAUGUUCGCGAACUGUUCACGAACGCAUACCGAACAUAAGUUUAUGUUCGUGUUCGUUCGUUAAGGAAAUUCAGUUGUUCACGAAUAGUUCGUGAACACUGGUCUCGAACACAAACGAACGCAAGCAAAUAAAAACAAACGAAAACGAACAUUUAACUUGAAAAUAAAAACAUUGUUAUCCUUAAACAUUGAAUAUAAGUAGUUAAAUACAACAAUCAAAUGAUAAAUCAAAACACAAGAAGUCUAAUAGAUCACCAAACGAUGAAUCAAGUUUAACUAGUUUAGAUAUAAUUAUCGCAAAAAAUGUCUUAGAAUGUCCAAAUUUUAGUUAACUUAGAAAAAAUAGGGUUUCAAGUUUUCAAUAUGUUUAGAUAAAGGGUUUAUUAUUUAUUAUUUUUUUGAUAUAAGCAAACGGACACGAAUGAACGUAAACGAACAUAUUACCAAACGUUCACGAACGUAGUCGAACGAACGAGACCUGUGUUCGUGUUCGUUCUGUAACAUUUCGUAUUUUCAAACUUUCCAUUUUUGGAAAGUCUACUUGUACUUUCUACUUUUGUAAGUUGUACCUUUGUUGUACUUGAUUCAAAUUCCAAAAUUUUACUCGAGACUUGAAAUCAUAAUAAAAUUGCAUGAUU